AAGGGGAGCACUGGAUCCUGGGCUGUGGUCCCCUGGCGCUCUAGGCUCUGUGGCCUGCGCCACUGGAAUUGUGCUCCCCCGCCACGCAGCCCCCU
rnacentral:pre_miRNA from 1 species